AUCCCAUGAUGAGAACAGGCGGCCAUGUACUCCUGUAGUCAUUCCCAUGCCUCGGGAAUAGACUCAUCUCUCGUCUGCUGUAAACUUGAAAUUCUCCCGCGUAGGGC
rfam:Oryza nivara chromosome 7, whole genome shotgun sequence.